CUAUUCUCCAGUCCAUAAUUAAAGAUGACCAAACAGGUUUUGUAGCAGGGAGACAUGGUCAAGAUAAUACUGGCAAAUUAUCGCUGGUAAUGGAACGACUUAAGGGAGCUGGCUGAGGCGGACUCCUAUUAGCCCUGGACGCUGAAAAAGCGUUUGACCGCCUCAGCUGGGCCUUCCUAGAACAGGCUUUAACAAAGUACGGAUUCCCCUCCGAGUUCCUGCUCAAAAUCUUAGCACUAUAUUCCGUCUCAACUGCUCGAGUAUUGCAAUUGGGUUUCCUCUCG